UACGGAGGGGGCUAGCGUUGUUCGGAAUUACUGGGCGUAAAGCGCGCGUAGGCGGCUUUGUAAGUUAGAGGUGAAAGCCCAGGGCUCAACCCUGGAAUUGCCUUUAAGACUGCAUCGCUAGAAUUGUGGAGAGGUAAGUGGAAUUCCGAGUGUAGAGGUGAAAUUCGUAGAUAUUCGGAAGAACACCAGUGGCGAAGGCGACUUACUGGCCCGGUACUGACGCUGAGGUGCGAAAGCGUGGGGAGCAAACAGG
rnacentral:rRNA from 1 species